ACCUUUUGUAUAAUGGGUCAGCGACUUAUAUUCUGUAGCAAGGUUAACCGAAUAGGGGAGCCGAAGGGAAACCGAGUCUUAACUGGGCGUUAAGUUGCAGGGUAUAGACCCGAAACCCGGUGAUCUAGCCAUGGGCAGGUUGAAGGUUGGGUAACACUAACUGGAGGACCGAACCGACUAAUGUUGAAAAAUUAGCGGAUGACUUGUGGCUGGGGGUGAAAGGCCAAUCAAACCGGGAGAUAGCUGGUUCUCCCCGAAAGCUAUUUAGGUAGCGCCUCGUGAAUUCAUCUCCGGGGGUAGAGCACUGUUUCGGCAAGGGGGUCAUCCCGACUUACCAACCCGAUGCAAACUGCGAAUACCGGAGAAUGUUAUCACGGGAGACACACGGCGGGUGCUAACGUCCGUCGUGAAGAGGGAAACAACCCAGACCGCCAGCUAAGGUCCCAAAGUCAUGGUUAAGUGGGAAACGAUGUGGGAAGGCCCAGACAGCCAGGAUGUUGGCUUAGAAGCAGCCAUCAUUUAAAGAAAGCGUAAUAGCUCACUGGUCGAGUCGGCCUGCGCGGAA
rnacentral:rRNA from 1 species